rnacentral:misc_RNA from 1 species
UUCGCGACGCCGACGCCCGCAUGAGACCCGGCAGGCCGUACGGCCGCGGGCUCAAGACGGGCACGGCAGUCGUUCGUGUCGUAAGACAAAUGCGUUGCUUGGGCAAACGGAGCUAAUAAAUAGACCCCGCACCCGCACAUAACAUUCUGCAUCCGAGAGCACGGGCAAGGCACCUCAUGGGCCGAGGCAGCGACGCAGCUGGGCGAAGCAUGCCGGGAACACGAGGCUUGCCUGAUGUCCACCCCAAAACCCGUGAGGGCAGGGGGCGGAAAGGGACUAACGAAACCAUCGGAUUCCUUUCGAUAGGUAAGCAACACAGGAUACCGAACACACCCCGCAAGGCCGUGACGGCACGUUGGGGAAGAAUGAAGAGGAUGGGGCGUCAACAGUUCGAUGCACGAGCACGGAGCCU